GUGAAUAAUUAUAUGACCUAUAGUAAGUAUGUUCUUUGCAAUAUUUGGGUCAUACUAAAAUAUUAUUUCUUGUUUUUCUGACAUUGAAGUUUAAUUGGAUGUAUUUUAUCUGGGAAAUUUAAUUGUAAAUGUUCAAAUUUAACUGGGCAUAUUUCAUCUGUCAACCCUAUUUGUGAAUAUCAGAUAAAGAGGUGUAGCUUUCCCCAGAGACCUGUUUUUUUUUUCUAAUAUUUGAUGGGGAAGGUCUGGAAGACAUCUAGCUUGUAAACAACGCUAAACUCUGUUAAGUCUCUUCAGUUGUAAAGAAAAUUUGAACUGAGAUUAAUUUAAAAAAGGAAAAUAAUAUCAACAGCUAAUAUUUAUUCAGUACUUACUCAAGAGAGAAACUAUCCUUGAAUUUUUUCAUUAACUCUACAUGACAAUUGUUAUAAUUCUUGCUUUCCAAUGGGGAACUUUAGGUACUUGAGGCUUCAAGACUGCAGAGUUUAUAAGUGGUGGAGCUGAGGUUUAAAACACCAGCUGUUUAUGACAGACUUCUACCACUAUCAAAGCUUAGUCACUACUAUGUACCUCCUCUUUACUGUGUAUUUCAAAAUAUAAAAAUUUUUUCAAAUAUAACUGAGUAAACUGUAUUUUAUUUAGAGAAUUAGUUUCAUUUUGGUUUUAUUUUUUGAGAUUUUUUUCUUUCAAUAUUGAAUUUAUAAGAGUCAGGUUAGCACAUAAUGGUGUUUUGUUAGCAAAUCCUUGGCAGGAAUAGACAUGUGACUAUGUGUUUAGAAGCCUUAAGAAAAAUAACCAAUUCAUCUUUUCACUAACUUAAUGGAAAAAACAAACUUCCAAGUCAUCCCAAAUGGAGUUUCUUUUUAAAAGAAAGAACAAGGGUUGCUGUAUCAUUGGAUCCUGGAUGACUAGGUCUACAUCAUCACCUACCAGAUGCAACUGGGGCCUGAGAGGCAUUGCUACUGACAUUUCGGAGAGACCUGUGAUCACUGUAGCCACCUGGUAUCUAGAAGAUUUCCAUGCAAGUUCUAAACAUGAAUCUUUUUCAUCAUGCUGA
rnacentral:lncRNA from 1 species